GUCAAAGCAAGCAAAGGCAAACCUGUUCCUUCGGGCUGCCCUCGCUGCCACCUGCACAAACACGGUGGAGUCCCAGGCUGCGCCAGCACGGAAGGCAGGGGAAGGGAGGCUGUGCCCCUGGCAGCAUCCCAGCCCCGUGGCCACUCACAGCGAGGUGGCUCCUGCUCUCCAAGACCACCUCCACACAGUGACAGCAGCACCUCUGUAGGCUAGUACAAGCCUAGCUACACGUCUGUGUGAGCAGCGUGGCUCCAGCUCCCUUUUUCUGGGAGGGCGCCCAUGUUCGGAUGGCCCUGACCUCCUCAGCUCUGCUAAUCAAGGAGGACAGCCAGGUUACGGGCCAGAUAUCAAAGGGAGACCCGUCACAGCCUUGUGUCAAAAGGCAGAGCUGGUAUUUGGGUGUGGGCUGGUGUUCAUCUUUUGUUGUCUUUCACACCUGCAUUCCCCUUUCCGCCAAGAAAAGUGCACGUGAAAAAAUCUGGACGGGAAACUCAUUACAUUUUGAACUCCACAAUACGGAUUGUUUUCUUGUUAGGGAUAUAAUGUGCCAAAACAACAGAUGAUAUUGACUUUCCUGACUUAGAGCAAGAUAGAGUUGUAGCUGUCAUGAGAUGGUAUUGAAAUCACGAGUUUGAAAGCUUCAGUACAUCCGGGACAGAAGAACUGAAACCAUUUGUGCUUAAAAUACAUUGCACGUGUGCCUCAGCUGCAAAACACUUACUUCAAAGAGACUGAAGUGCUGACUUAACGAACUGGAGAGUCAGAAAACCCGAGUGCCAGUCUUUUUGCCCAUGGCCCAUUUCCCCAGCUGUUCCGUGGCAGCGUGAUGAAAAGAGGAAAAAUCGGCAAAGGGAGAGCAAGGGAGAGAAGGGAAACAGACAAACAGGGGACUUGAGGUGGAAACAAGGUGUGGAGGUGUCCUUAGCUUUGCUGGGGACAAUAAUUCUGUACGAUGCUCUCAGAAGGACGAGAAGGCUAUCUGGAUAGAGACAGAAAAGCCAGUGGGGACAGCCAGCUUGCCUAGUUCAUUUGGAAAUAAAAAGGGAAGUGAAGACGUAUCUAGAGAGGCAGAAGCAGCAGUAACAAUUAAUAAUAGUUACAGAGUGAAAGGCCGAGAUGUGUUCACUUCACCUUCAGCACCAGAUGACUGUGGUCACCCGCGAUCUGUGUGGCAGGAACUACCUGAUAGGCCACAUCUGAAUGUGGGAUGCAAAGAAUCCCUCAACUUGUAAGAAACAGGAAUCCCAAAUAUGAUAUCUGAAUCCACCUCUGGUAAAAACAAGCAGAAAGCACAGGCCAUGAACUGGAAGAGGGCUUCAGGCAAUAAUGACAGGCACCUCUGAGACACCUUGCCUGGCCACAGGGCACUUCAGGAAGUGAACAUGACUGCUGGCACAAGAAAUAAUGGAACAAAUACUUUGGUGGAAGCAGUUUUGGCCAUUUGGCCACUCUGCAGUAUUUUGCAACAUUCUUAGGGAUGGUAGGAACCUUCUGGGAAACUGUUUCCUCUGAGCAACAUCUCAACAGGGUAUCUAGCACCAGCAACUGUUACAGAACGUACCGUGAUGAAUAUUAGAGUAAGGCAAAGAACGGAAACACGUCUGCAAAUCCCCAUCUGUCUAAAUUGCGUGGUGCAUUUUAUAAAAGCAUAACUCUGGGAUCAAUUCUGGCAAUGGUUUGCAUACGUAUUCACUUUACAACACAAAGCCCCAUUGAAAUGAACCAGAAACUCGUACAGUGCAUUUCAAAGGGACUUUGCAAAAUACUAAGCAACAACUGUGCAGAAACAAUAGCUCAUAAUAAUGUCAGAGCUGCUGGUGCAUCCUGUGUUCUCAGCACAGCACUGUGAGCCAUCAGUUGUUGUGUUCACCUUAAAAAUUCAGGGAAAUAAAAUACAAAAACAGUAUUUAAAGUCUGGCAUCUUUCCAUGAAAACCAGGAAAAUUCAACAUUGCCAAGCCGAGGAAAAGCAGGUUUGAAAGAAAACAGAAAGACUCUAAAAGUCAUUGAGUAAAAUGUCUAAAAGUGACAUGGUCCAAACACACGGCACUUCAAAAAUCCUUUCGUGAGAGUUUCAAGUCUGUAAGACUCGAAGUUGGCACCCUUUAGAAUUAUCAAAAAGAAGAGUCUCAAACACAACAGUACCUGGAGAACAUCCUGAUCACACCAUGGAAAAUGCUGAAAACCAGAGCAGGUUAGCUGUCAGCACACACAUCUGAACUGCUCUCGCUGUGCUGGGUUCAGGCUCUAAGGUCCCUGGGCAGAGACUGCGGCUCCCUCUGCAUUCGUACAACACAGUCAGUGCUUAACAACACAAAUAUCUAUCAUUUCAGCAAGCUCUAAGACAUACGGAGAUGGAUGCUGAUGGGGUUUAUAUUCUGCCAUCUACAGAUUAGUUUUAGCACAAUGGCUUUAGAUGUCCUAUGCAAAUCCUGCUCACUGGGUUAAUGAGUAAAAUGGCUGAAGAUAUUUUAAGCAACAUUAAAGCCUAUUUAUAGUCACAUCUCCUUUCCUUCCAGCGUCCACUGGAGGAUGCUGAGUGCUUCUAAAUACUGUGCCUGACCUGAUGUGUCACAUCAGAAUUAAAACUUGAAGAAUCCCUGAGAAUUCUGAUUUAAUCUAGGAAACCACUCCCAGCAUGCAGAGUGUGAGAAAGAAUUGCUCCACUUCUUACAGAUAUGCCAGUUUUGCUUCACCGUGGGAAACAGUUUCAGGCAUUUUGGUUUUUAAUGGCACUCUGGGCAUAGAUGCAUGGAACAU